rnacentral:rRNA from 1 species
UACGAAGGGGGCUAGCGUUGCUCGGAUUGACUGGGCGUAAAGGGCGCGUAGGCGGUUCGUACAGUCAGACGUGAAAUUCCUGGGCUCAACCUGGGGGCUGCGUUUGAUACGUGCGGGCUUGAGUUCGGAAGAGGGUCGUGGAAUUCCCAGUGUAGAGGUGAAAUUCGUAGAUAUUGGGAAGAACACCGGUGGCGAAGGCGGCCUGCUGGGCUAUGGCUGACACUGAGGCGCGACAGCGUGGGGAGCAAACAGG